rnacentral:rRNA from 1 species
CCUACGGGUGGCUGCAGUGGGGAAUAUUGGACAAUGGGGGGAACCCUGAUCCAGCCAUGCCGCGUGUGUGAAGAAGGCCCUCGGGUUGUAAAGCACUUUCAGUGAGGAAGAACGCCUGGUGGUUAAUACCCAUCAGGAAAGACAUCACUCACAGAAGAAGCACCGGCUAACUCCGUGCCAGCAGCCGCGGUAAUACGGAGGGUGCGAGCGUUAAUCGGAAUUACUGGGCGUAAAGCGCGCGUAGGUGGCUUGAUAAGCCGGUUGUGAAAGCCCCGGGCUCAACCUGGGAACGGCAUCCGGAACUGGCAAGCUAGAGUGCAGGAGAGGAAGGUAGAAUUCCCGGUGUAGCGGUGAAAUGCGUAGAGAUCGGGAGGAAUACCAGUGGCGAAGGCGGCCUUCUGGACUGACACUGACACUGAGGUGCGAAAGCGUGGGUAGCAAACAGGAUUAGAUACCCCGGUAGUC